UCUGCAUCCAUUGUUUUCAAAGAUAACAAAGCCUACUCACAGAAACUUGUCCAUGGUGCUAAAACUCUCUAUAAAUUCGCAAGGGAAGAGCGAGGUAGAUAUAGUGCAGGUAGUUCAGAAGCUGCCAUUUUCUAUAAUUCAACUAGCUACUGGGAUGAGUUUAUAUGGGGUGCAACUUGGCUCUACUAUGCUACUGGGAAUUCUUCUUAUCUUCAGCUUGCUACUACUCCUGGUUUGGCCAAGCAUGCUGGUGCUUUCUGGGGAGGGCCAUACUAUGGUGUGCUUAGCUGGGAUAACAAGCUCACUGGUUGUCAGGUGCUUU
rnacentral:misc_RNA from 1 species